rnacentral:rRNA from 1 species
AGUGAACGCUGGCGGUAGGCCUAACACAUGCAAGUCGAACGGCAGCACAGUAAGAGCUUGCUCUUACGGGUGGCGAGUGGCGGACGGGUGAGGAAUACAUCGGAAUCUACUUUUUCGUGGGGGAUAACGUAGGGAAACUUACGCUAAUACCGCAUACGACCUACGGGUGAAAGCAGGGGAUCUUCGGACCUUGCGCGAUUGAAUGAGCCGAUGUCGGAUUAGCUAGUUGGCGGGGUAAAGGCCCACCAAGGCGACGAUCCGUAGCUGGUCUGAGAGGAUGAUCAGCCACACUGGAACUGAGACACGGUCCAGACUCCUACGGGAGGCAGGAGUGGGGAAUAUUGGACAAUGGGCGCAAGCCUGAUCCAGCCAUACCGCGUGGGUGAAGAAGGCCUUCGGGUUGUAAAGCCCUUUGUUGGGAAAGAAAAGCAGCAGGUUAAUACCCCGCUGUUCUGACGGUACCCAAAGAAUAAGCACCGGCUAACUUCGUG